rnacentral:rRNA from 1 species
AUUGAACGCUGGCGGCAGGCCUAACACAUGCAAGUCGAGCGAGCGGCGGACGGGUGAGUAAUGUCUGGGAAACUGCCUGAUGGAGGGGGAUAACUACUGGAAACGGUAGCUAAUACCGCAUACCAUCCGAUGUCCCCAGAUGGGAUUAGCUAGUAGGUGGGGGAUGGGCUCACCUAUGCGACGAUCCCUACCUGGUCUGAGAGGAUGACCAGCCAAACUGGACAUGAGACACGGUCCAGACACCUACGGGUGGCAGCAGUGUGGAAUAUUGCACUAUGGGCGCAAGCCUGAUGCAGCCAUGCCGCGUGUGUGAAGAAGGCCUUCGGGUUGUAAAGCACUUUCAGCGGGGAGGCGUUACCCGCAGAAGAAGCACCGGCUAACUCCGUGCCAGCAGCCGCGGUAAUAC